CCCAGGCGUGGCAGAAAAGUCAGCACCGCCCUCUUCCCGCAGCCCCUGCAAGCUGGCAGGCCAGCUGCAAGCCCCCUCGGCCUGCCCCACCUCGGGCAGAACAGGCCCAGCUCUCCAGCCGGUGCCUCCCCUGCGCCGCGGCGCCAGGCCCGGGCUGGGCGCCGUGCCCCGGAGGGCACCGUCUGCCGCCUGGGCUGCUUGAAGCGCCGCUCAGGACUUGCGUGGGACGCUCCCCUGCUUUUCCAGGGCCACGCUGGGGACACUCAGCACCGCCGCAGCCCCCAGGCCUCUCUGAGCCCUGCCACCCCACUGGUCACCCCUGUCCUCGGAGACCAGGCACGGGCAGAGAGUCCUGCCCUGCGUCCCGGCGAGAGCGGGAACCGGCCCGGCCUCGCCACGUCCACGUCCACGUCCACGUCCUUUCACGAGGAACAAGAAACAAGGCAGGCGCCGCUGGUUCCGGGGUGCAAGCGGCAAGUCGCAGCUUCGGGGGCGCAGGCAGAUGGAGGCGACCCCCUUGAACUGAGACGCCGCGCUCAGAGCCGUGCGGGACUCCGCUGCCGGGUCUCCCGAUCGCCCGAAGCAGAGGGCUCUGCCUGCCGGGGGGUGGGGGGGGCAGGAGCCCCCUCCCCUUACAGGCCAGCGCAAAGCUGCAGCUACUCCAGGAGAGCCAGGCCAGCCCCUCGCCAGCCCGGGCGCAGAGGAGGAGUAGGUUCGUCCCCUGGCUGGCCCUGCUGCCGGGCACACCGCGGCGUGGAUCUCCACGGCCGUCCCGACGUCCAGCCCCGCGCAGCUCCUGGCAGGCUGCCCCGGCAGAGCCUCCCUCGUGCAGCCACUCGCCCGUGUCGCGGUGAACACGAGGCAUGCGCGGCCCGGGGCACUUCACCCUCGGUGCCUGCUUUGCAACUCUUACCUUCCCCCGGUGACUCACGGGCGCCGGUGCAGAUGGCGGAGGCGAGCCGGGCACGGCGGCAUCAGGAUGUGACUGCCGAAGCCCUUGAGGCCCGCAGGUGCGGGCGGCAGUGCCCAGUCUCUGCACCCAGCCCUGGUUCUCCAAGCGGGGGUGCACCCUGCCGCCUGCUUUGGCUGCCCCAGGGCCUUCCCUAGCCCAGCACCAGCCCCAG
rnacentral:lncRNA from 1 species